AUGGUUGUGGAGGUGAGAUGUGCGUGGAAAGCGCUUUGCGAGCUGUGCCGGGCUCCCUAGACAUCGGCCGCCGUAACCUCAUCGGCUGCUCCCGGGUCAGGCACAUCCGGAAAUGUUUCAGCAAACACAAAGAACUCCUCUGUCCUGUCCUGUAAGUGGCCCAAGAUGCAUCACAGAACCACUGAGCAAGUCAUGAGGCCAGGAACCGUAUCUCCUUCGUGUUCUGAUGUACCCCCAGGACCAGCACAGUGCUGGGUACAGAGCUAUGCACAG